rnacentral:rRNA from 1 species
GAAUAUUGGACAAUGGGCGAAAGCCUGAUCCAGCCAUGCCGCGUGAGUGAAGAAGGCCUUCGGGUUGUAAAGCUCUUUUGUUGGGAAAGAAAAGCAGCCGGUUAAUACCCGGUUGUUCUGACGGUACCCAAAGAAUAAGCACCGGCUAACUUCGUGCCAGCAGCCGCGGUAAUACGAAGGGUGCAAGCGUUACUCGGAAUUACUGGGCGUAAAGCGUGCGUAGGUGGUUCGUUAAGUCUGAUGUGAAAGCCCUGGGCUCAACCUGGGAAUGGCAUUGGAUACUGGCAGGCUAGAGUGCGGUAGAGGGUAGUGGAAUUCCCGGUGUAGCAGUGAAAUGCGUAGAGAUCGGGAGGAACAUCUGUGGCGAAGGCGACUACCUGGACCAGCACUGACACUGAGGCACGAAAGCGUGGGGAGCAAACAG